rnacentral:rRNA from 1 species
UACGUAGGUGACCAGCGUUGUCCGGAUUUACUGGGCGUAAAGAGCGCGCAGGCGGCUGGUCAAGUCCGAUGUGAAAGCUCCCGGCUUAACUGGGAAAUUGCAUCGGAAACUGAUCGGCUGGAAGGUGGGAGAGGGUAGCGGAAUUCCCGGUGUAGUGGUGAAAUGCGCAGAUAUCAGGAGGAACACCGGUGGCGAAGGCGGAUCUCUGGGCCAUUACUGACGCUGAGGAGCGAAAGCGUGGGGAGCGAACAGG